rnacentral:rRNA from 1 species
AAGCGGUGGAUGAUGUGGAUUAAUCGAUGCAACGCGAAAACCUUACCUACCCUUGACAUGUCCGGAAUCCCGAAGAGAUUUGGGAGUGCUCGCAAGAGAACCGGAACACAGGUGCUGCAUGGCUGUCGUCAGCUCGUGUCGUGAGAUGUUGGGUUAAGUCCCGCAACGAGCGCAACCCUUGUCAUUAGUUGCCAUCAUUUGGUUGGGCACUCUAAUGAGACUGCCGGUGACAAACCGGAGGAAGGUGGGGAUGACGUCAAGUCCUCAUGGCCCUUAUGGGUAGGGCUUCACACGUCAUACAAUGGUCGGUACAGAGGGUUGCCAACCCGCGAGGGGGAGCUAAUCCCACAAAGCCGAUCGUAGUCCGGAUCGCAGUCUGCAACUCGACUGCGUGAAGUCGGAAUCGCUAGUAAUCGUGGAUCAGCAUGUCACGGUGAAUACGUUCCCGGGUCUU